CGGCGGACGGGUGAGUAAUGCCUAGGAAUCUGCCUGGUAGUGGGGGACAACGUUUCGAAAGGAACGCUAAUACCGCAUACGUCCUACGGGAGAAAGCAGGGGACCUUCGGGCCUUGCGCUAUCAGAUGAGCCUAGGUCGGAUUAGCUAGUUGGUGAGGUAAUGGCUCACCAAGGCGACGAUCCGUAAUUGGUCUGAGAGGAUGAUCAGUCACACUGGAACUGAGACACGGUCCAGACUCCUACGGGAGGCAGCAGCC
rnacentral:rRNA from 1 species